rnacentral:rRNA from 1 species
GUUCUCUUAACUGAACAUUGAGACAGAAUGCGUGUUCCUAGUGGGCCAUUUUGGUAAGCAGAACUGGCGAUGAGGGAUGAACCUAACGUUGAGUUAAGGUGCCCAACUAUACGCUCAUGAGAUACCACAAAAGGUGUUGAUUCAUCUAAACAGCAGGACGGUGGACAUAAAAGUCGUCAUCCGCUAAGGAGUGUGUUACAACUCACCUGCCGAAUGAAUUAGCCCUAGAAAAUGGAUGGCGCUAAAAGCGUAUGACCGAUACUCAACCAUCAAUACAAAAGAAAGUAGUGAUGAGUAGGAGGGCGUGGGGUGUUGUAAGAAGAUUAUGGCGUGAGCCUGAUUGGAACGACAUCUAGUGCAGAUCUUGGUGGUAGUAGCAAAUAGCCAAUUGGAAACGUUGGCGGCCGAAGUGGAGAAGGGUUCCCUGAGAACAGCAAUUGAUCAGGGGGUUACGCGGUCCUAAGUUCCUGGUUAAACCUAUAUAAGGUGCUCUCCAGCACAGAACGAAAGGG